CACGGCACACCAGUGUGCCGCGGCACACCGUUUGGGAACCACUGGUCUAGGGAUAGAGAAACUUGAAUUACGUAACUUCCACUAGAAUCAAAUUAUUUAUUUAUUAUUAACUCUGACGUUUAACAUGACAUGAGUUAACCUAGCAGAACAGUAUCUGCUCUGCUGGCCGUGACAUUACCGAGUCAAGUCUGCGCAGCCGGGUCGGUACAACGCCGUUAACCUAUUAGCUUAGCUUAGCUAGCUGGCUGAAAGAACGUAAAAGCUAGAAAUUACAGUUGCUGUUGACGUGUUAGCUUAGCUUAGCUAGCCGGCUGAAAUAACGUAAAAGCUAGUAAUUACAGUAUUAACACGUCUUCAUUAAUCUUUUUGGCAUUGUUACUAAAUAUAGAGAUGUCCCGAUCCCCGGAUCGGAUCGGCCCCCGAUACUUGGUUUUAAGGUGGAUCGGGAUCGGCAGAUCCAAUUAAAUAUCAUGGCCGAUCCAUAUUUAAUAUUUCCCAUGAUUCCGUUGUUUGUUGUUGUUGUUCUUUUGCAUCAGCCGCCAUUAUCGAGUUGGAAAAGUGGAACAGACACAUCGUUAGCUAGUUAAAAUGUCUGCAGUUUGGCAUCAUUUUAAAAUAACUAGAAGUGAGUCGCCGACUGCGACAUGCAAAGUCUGUGGUGUGGAAGUCUCACGAGGUGGUGCUAACAGGGUCUCCUACAACACCACAAACCUAAUAAAACAUCUUAAAAAGCACCACCCCGACGAACACGCCGCCUACUGUAAAGCGACAGCGUCUGCGACUGAUGGACUCAUCAACAAACACUGCGGGACAGCUUGAAACGAAAGGAUUUACUUCUUCGAGACUCCGAGAGAUUUCGCAAGAUUACUGAGCUGAUUGUGGAGUGCAUAGCAGAGGACGACCAGCCAAUUUCACUUGUGGAAAACUCCGGUUUUUGUCGUCUAAUAAAUUAUUUGGAGCCGCGCUAUGGGAUGCCAUCCCGCCAUUACAUUGCUGAAAAAGGCAUCCCAGCCCUGCACACCAAGGUGCGUGAACAAGUGCAGCGGCACCUAAAGGAGGCUACCUCAAUCGCCCUCACCACUGACCUGUGGAGUUCAGGUGUAGCCCCGAUGUCGCUCCUCAGUCUGACCGCCCACUGGAUAGACUCCAGUUUUACUUUGCACAAUGUGGUGUAUGCAAGUGAGCUGCGUGGCUCUCACACACUUCAAUGCGUAUCCGGAAUGCUAUAGAAGAGAUGCUCGCCAAGUGGGACAUCGAUAAUGACAAGGUGCAUGUUAUGAGAGACAACGCCGCCAACAUGAAGAAGGUAAGCCUUCUUGUUAUUGACCACUGAUGUUUAGCUACGCAUUACCCACGUCAGUAAAGUUCAUGCUAAUUCCGUCAACAGCAUCUUUUAAUGAAUGGUCAUGGGGUAAACUUCCAUUUGAUGAUUUUGACAUGAUAUACUAGAUGUAUAUUAAAUGUUCCCUAUUCCUAAUUAUAAUUACGUGUGCCCUGGAUUUAUUUAAAAUGAUGUCUAGAUAACGUGUCUUUUAGACGGCAACCACAUCAACAGGCUAGCAGAAAAGUUAGCCUAGCUUGUUGUCAGCUAACUCAAGUCAGCUUAGCCACUAGCACUAGUUGUUAUUGCGACAGCAAAUAAUUAAAACGAAACAUUAAUAUCCUGUUUUAUGUCUUAUCUAAGACUACAGGCUUUCAAUACGUUUGUUAGACUUGGAAGUAGCCUACCGUAUUAAUGACAAAACAGCUAGUUUUGAGAGGCUACCUAUCAGCAGGAAAAAUAUUCAGUGCAACUUUUGAGAUGUUAAAAUCUCCGUUGCUACAUUGGUUGACCCAAGAUACAAAGAAAGGCAAGUCCUGUUUGUUUCAAAACUUAUUUUGCGAUAUAUAUAAUUGCUCAGGCCUAAUUAAUUCACCAUUUGAUUAUAACAUCAAAAUAAAUGUUCCAAAUGUUGUUCUAUGACAUUGACAACAAUAACUUCGAUAUGCUAAGGGAACGACAAAAUAUGUUAGGAAACAAAUAAUUAUUUUUAACUAAAUUAAAUUCUAUCCAUUUUCAGAUUAUUCACAAGUCCAGACCACCAGGAGCUUGCCAAGGAGGCUCUCAUUAGAGAGGUGGAGAUCAUGGAGAGAAAGAGGAAGGCUGGCAGUGAGGUGUCUGCAGAAGAGCCUCCAAGAAAGUCACCACGUCGAGGCGGUGUAGGCUGUGCAGCUGCAAACAGCAGCUUUGUCAGUCUAUAUGACGAGAUCUUGGAGGGGAAUGUGGUGGAGUCGAGGCCUGUGAGUACGUCAGCAGUCGUCACUCAGGUGGAGGCCUACCUGGCUGAACAAACCAUCCCAAGGAUCCUUUCUUAAGUUUCUGGCAGCAGCAACGGAAAAGGAUAAGGUGCCCCCUCCAAAUGCUGAUGAUGCAGUUCAGUCUACAUCUACCUCCAGUGGGGCAUCAACAUCU